rnacentral:rRNA from 1 species
GACAGAGGGUGCAAACGUUGUUCGGAAUUACUGGCGUAAAGCGCGUGUAGGCGGCCCGGAAAGUCGGAAUGUGAAAGCCCUGGGCUUAACCCAGGAAGUGCAUUCGAAACUCCCGGGCUUGAGUUCUGGAGAGGAAGGCGGAAUUCUCGGUGUAGAGGUGAAAUUCGUAGAUAUCGAGAGGAACACCGGUGGCGAAGGCGGC